GUCUACGGCCAUACCACCCUGAACGCGCCCGAUCUUGUCUGAUCUUGGAAGCUAAGCAGGGUCGGGCCUGGUUAGUACUUGGAUGGGUGAAAGGUGCAGUAAGGC
ensembl:rRNA 5S_rRNA 5S ribosomal RNA